rnacentral:lncRNA from 1 species
UGGCGGUGCCGGGCAGUAUUGUGGCUGGGGAACCGGAUUAUACUGUGGUGGUGCCGGGUGAUAUUGUGGAGGAGCAGGGUCGUACUGGGGUGGCUCGGGAUCCUCUCGCUAUAGUGGUGGCUCAACCUGUGACAGCGGGAGAGGGUUAGGUAGCUCCCUCCUCUCCUAUCGACCCUGCUUGGCAGCAAUGAGUCUCUCCAGCAUCUCAAAUAUCUUGUCAACGUCUUUCCGAAGCGAACCAUCCCGGACUGCUCGGUUUAGUGGGGGUCUUCCUCUUAUCAUC